rnacentral:rRNA from 1 species
GAGUUUGAUCCUGGCUCAGGAUGAACGCUGGCGGCGUGCUUAACACAUGCAAGUCGAACGGGAAUUACUUUAUUGAAACUUCGGUCGAUUUAAUUUAAUUCUAGUGGCGGACGGGUGAGUAACGCGUGGGUAACCUGCCUUGUACAGGGGGAUAACAGUCAGAAAUGACUGCUAAUACCGCAUAAGCGCACAGGACCGCAUGGUCCGGUGUGAAAAACUCCGGUGGUAUAAGAUGGACCCGCGUUGGAUUAGCUAGUUGGUGAGGUAACGGCCCACCAAGGCGACGAUCCAUAGCCGGCCUGAGAGGGUGAACGGCCACAUUGGGACUGAGACACGGCCCAGACUCCUACGGGAGGCAGCAGUGGGGAAUAUUGCACAAUGGGGGAAACCCUGAUGCAGCGACGCCGCGUGGAGGAAGAAGGUCUUCGGAUUGUAAACUCCUGUUGUUGGGGAAGAUAAUGACGGUACCCAACAAGGAAGUGACGGCUAACUACGUGCCAGCAGCCGCGGUAAUAC